rnacentral:misc_RNA from 1 species
CGCACAUUGCGCCCCUUGGUAUUCCGAGGGGCACGCCUGUUCGAGCGUCAUUUCAACCCUCAAGCACCGCUUGGUAUUGGACGCGGUCCUUGAGGACCCGUCCGCAACUGGUCGGCGGCACCGUCCGGCUCUGAGCGUAGCAAGAAUCUUCCCUCGCUCGAGAGACCGCGGCGGCGCCUGCCGGUGAAGCUACUUCCAAAGUUUGACCUCGGAUCAGGUGGGGAUACCCGCUGAACUUAA